GCGGCGGCGGCGGCGGCGGCCCGGAGCCCCCGAGCCCCCGGCAGGUGCGCCUGCCCUUCCCCGCGAUCUGAUUGGAUACAGUGGGGGCUCGACGGUGGCCGCCGUGGGACAGUGCGGCGGCGGCAGGGGUCUCGGAAACCAUGGGUUAUUGCAGCGGCAGGUGCACGCUCAUCUUCAUCUGUGGCAUGCAACUGUUGAAAAUGGAACGUGGAUGGGAGCAUCAUGAUUCUAAACUUUUUUUUUUUCUCUGAUAAACAAAGUGCUUUUCAGUUUUAAAUGCCUGCCAUAGUAAGUAUUUUAUUUGGCUACUUGAAAAAAUAGUACAUGUUAAAUGAUGAAGAAUAUCAAGAUUCUUCAGUCUGAUGAUGUGCAUUGGUAAUAUUGGAUGUCAAAGGUUGGCUUAGGCUCUUCUCUGGAAAUAGUUGAGAGUGGCCCAUGUUAGUUCUGUCUACCACCUAAAAAG
rnacentral:lncRNA from 1 species